GAGCUCCGUAUGCAUUUUAUGGCAUAGACACGCAUAACGAAUAUGAGAAGCAGAUGAGCACGGGAACUACAGCCAACAUGUAUGAACAGGAGCAGGUUGAACCGAUCUCCAAUGAAAGCCUUGUCCAAACCACAGAAACACACGAGUGCCAUGAAAGAUCUGCCUCAGAACCGUAGAAUCGUGAAAUCGGAACCUGCCUGUGGUUUUCCUUGUGAGCCUACGUUCUGAUUA